rnacentral:lncRNA from 1 species
AACCCUGCAAACUGAGUGAACAAACCAAACGAAGUCGGAAGCAUUCUGCUUGCUUUCAGAGACAUUAGUUUGGCAAGGUUAAAUCCAAAUGGCAUGAAAGCACUGAUGGCAGGUACCAAAGAACACGCACAGAACCCCCAAACCCUCAUCUGAGGUCAUACAGGAACGUGCAUGGAUGGAAAUGGGCAGCCACGUGGGAAGAAAUGCUGUGUAUGGAUACUAGAAUGAUGCUGGAUUUGUAUGUCCCUGUUUACUAUGACUAAUACGACGUAAUUGCAAGGGAUGAAGAAGAUACAGACAGCAUCUGAAUGGAGAAAAUUUUUCUUCUUCUAUUCCUUAUAUUCUCAUCUCCAACAAAGAACGUUCAGCAGAAGAGACCAGAAGACAGAAGGUGAUAAAAAAGGACAAGACAGCAACAGUGAAAAUGAGAUGGAUGUUGAAAAUAUAAGAAUAUGCCUAGAAAUAAAUCAGCAAGAGGAAGCAAAGCAUACAAAUGGGAUAAUAUAGUACAUCACCAACACACAGAGAGGAGACUAGACUAUAAAAACACACUAGAGUUCAGUGUAAAGCAGAUAUGGACUUCUCAGUGAAGUUCACGCCACUCCUGUUUUAGCCUGGGAAAAUUUUAUUUCAGCUGAAAUAAUAAUAAUACAGCAGUCUUUGGAAUAAAUAUAUCAGAUCAUACUGAAUGACCUCUAUUUCCCUGAGGAGGAUACCCUUGGGCAAGAACACAAUGCUAUAACUGUGAAAAUGUUUACUUCAUCUCUUCAUGAUUUUGUUGACUGUCCAAAAGAUAUUAUGCAGUCCACUGCACCUGCCAAUGUAGCCCUAGGGAUGUCAAGGUGGACUGUCAGAGGCCCUGCUCUGCACAGCUUCAUACAACAAUGAAACAAGCCUUAACUUCCUCAAAAUGCUAUGGAAAAAAGAAAUUUCUGCACAACAACAUGAAAGCAACUCAGUAGGGAAAUGUGAGCCAUUGCAGCCACAGGUAAAGCAAUCGAACCACGCCAAAGCAAUUGAGGUAUUAGGUGGUGUGGAUCAAGACGAUUUCCCACAGGACUGUGAAAACUGCCAUCAUUCCUGUAAUCUGUUUGAAGAACUUUUAACAGUUCUAGUGACAACACUGACAAGAUCAAAGGAGCGUGAAACCCCGAGAUGAAGAUUAUGUUUCUGCAUGGAGACCUUGCUUCCGGCAAAGGCAUCUACUGCCCUCCGGCAUUUCAGUGAAAGAAGUUGCCAUCACUUUUGUCUUCUGCUUUCAUAGUUGUUCAGUGAUAAAGGAGUCAGCUUUGCACCRCUUUUAUGUCUACCUUGAACCAAUAAACAUUAUUUUAAAAAUAAAUGUGAAGAUAUG